AUCCUCCAGAUUCCUUGCUCCUCAGAUCAAAACAUUGAUUUAGUGGUUAUAAAAGAGGAAAAGUAAAACUGAAGUGGGCGUGGGUUCUUUAAGGAAAUGGAAGCUCAUUUCAAGCAAAU
rnacentral:snoRNA from 1 species